rnacentral:tRNA from 1 species
GGGGCGGUAGCUCAGUCUGGGAGAGCACUAGACUGAAGAUCUAGGUGUCGAGUGUUCAAAUCACUCUCGCCCCA